UACGAAGGGGGCUAGCGUUGCUCGGAAUUACUGGGCGUAAAGCGCACGUAGGCGGAUUGCUAAGUCGGGGGUGAAAUCCUGGAGCUCAACUCCAGAACUGCCUUCGAUACUGGCGAUCUCGAGUUCGGGAGAGGUGAGUGGAACUGCGAGUGUAGAGGUGAAAUUCGUAGAUAUUCGCAAGAACACCAGUGGCGAAGGCGGCUCACUGGCCCGAUACUGACGCUGAGGUGCGAAAGCGUGGGGAGCAAACAGG
rnacentral:rRNA from 1 species